CAUCACAUGGGAUUGACAAUUAUCCCAUUGGCUAUUUUGUUUUGGAUCCCAUGGGAUAAUUGUAGUCCCAUGUGAUA
rnacentral:sRNA from 1 species